GGACUGCUUGUGUUAACAUGUUCAGUCAAGAAGGCAACAGCCUCGAUGGAAUCAUUAUGCCC
rnacentral:rRNA from 1 species